UACGUAGGGUGCAAGCGUUAAUCGGAAUUACUGGGCGUAAAGCGUGCGCAGGCGGUGAUGUAAGACAGGUGUGAAAUCCCCGGGCUUAACCUGGGAACUGCAUUUGUGACUGCAUAGCUAGAGUGCGGCAGAGGGGGAUGGAAUUCCGCGUGUAGCAGUGAAAUGCGUAGAUAUGCGGAGGAACACCGAUGGCGAAGGCAAUCCCCUGGGCCUGCACUGACGCUCAUGCACGAAAGCGUGGGGAGCAAACAGG
rnacentral:rRNA from 1 species